rnacentral:lncRNA from 10 species
GGGCUUUGGCGCCAGAGGGCUGCCCCUCGGCCGGUGACCGAGUUAAGCACCGAGCUGUAAAUCGCUUGAGACCUGUAUUUGGUUGUUUUGUUGGUUUUGCCAAGUAAGGUCACUUGAGGAUUUCUUGGCUCGAGGUCCCAGGUUGCGCAGACUCUGACUGCAUCGAGUUGAGAAUUUUGGUCAGAAUGUUAAAGUGGAAACCUACCCCAGGCUGUCAUGGUCAGUGUUUUAGAGAACUUCUUGGGUUGGGGUGUGGAGCUGGGCGGUCCAGGAUGUUCUGUCAUCAGAGACUGGCGGGUUCUGGGGAACUUGGUGCCAUGGAACACAGUAGGGACGUUCUGCUUCUCAUCAAGAACAUGAAGACAUUAAGAGGUGGAAUUGUAAUGGGGAAAAAGACUUUUGCAUUCUGGUAACCAACUGAUCCUACCCGGACCCAUGAUGCAUAACUCAGCUGGUCCUGUGGCGCACACCCAGAGGCCGACUCAAUGCAUGAAGACUGUUUUCCACACCCCUAUGAUUUCAUCCCCAACCAAGCAGCAGCAUCCAUUCCCUAGCCCCCUGCCCACCAAAUUAUCCAUAAAAACUCUGGCUUCUGAGUUCUCAGCAAAACUGAUUUUAGUAAUAACUCCAGUUCUUCCACUUGGCUGGCCUUAGUUAAUUAAACUUAUUCUUUACUAUAGUACCGUGUUCCCAGUGAAUUGGUUUUGUCUGUGUAGCAGGCAGGACAACCCAUCAGGCAAUCACACAGUUACUCUGCAGUGCUUCUUUUUAUUUUGCUUUUCAAACAAAUUUCAAAUAUUAUUAGAUUGAAAUAAACUAUACAAAUAGCUUUUCCUCACAAAAAUGCAAUAUUUUGUGUAUUAUUCCUAGGUAAACUACAAAACUUUUAUUUUUGGAAGUUUUUUUUUGCAAAAAUAAAUCAAGAUGCUUAUGCAUAUAAAUCAAGAUGAGGCAAUGAAAAAAAACCAAAGAAUAACCAAAGAGAGACAAAUCAGUUGUCAGUGUCUGUGAACUCAUGUUCUGUCUUGCUUGUAAAACAGAGGGUUCAUGUGUGGUCCGCUAAAAAGCUGAUGGCCCAGUUAGGGUAGAGAUACAACAAAGGGGUGCAAGCCCCAGCAACACAUGUGGGGCAACAGUGAGGCAUCCCUCCAUUCAAACUGUAACUGUAACUCCUUCCUUUCUUCCUUCCUCCCUCCCUCCCCCUUCCCCCUCCAUCCCUCCACACUUCCCCCUUCCCUUUCGCCUCCCCUCCCCUCCCCUCCACUCCCCUCCCCUCCUUCCUUUCUCUUUCUUUAUUUUUUUUUUAAGAGAUGGGGUCCCACUAUAUUGACCAGGCUGGUCUGUAACUCCGGGCCUCAAGGGAUCUUCCCAACUCCACCUCUCAAAGUGCUGGAUUACAGCCUGAGCCACUGGACCUGGCUACUGUCCAUUCUUUGAUGAAGACAAAGUUUACCCUGAAAUCCUGUUCAGAUGUGGGAAGACCUCUAAGCAGGAAGAGACACAGGUAACUGUAAAUACAGGACUGAAGAAAACAGAUUAACCUGCUCAAGCUAAUUUCAGAAGGUUUAUACACCCAAGAAAAGUCAUUCAAACAAGCCUUAAGGUUAUUCAUAUACUACUCAAAUGUGGAAUCCCUAUUUCCUUUAAACGUGUAAUACAAUUAUAUUUUCUUUAAUAUUAAUUUUGCUUCCUCCUUAGAAGGAAACCUACUUAUCUGUAAAUUACAUUUCAAAUCUAAUUAUCCUGUCAAUUUGCAGAUGGCUUAAUAAAGAAAAACAAUUGCAUGCCAGAUUUAAUCUGACUCUUUGGAUCUUUUGUAAUUUCAGUUAAGAUAUUACAUAGAGUGGUUACAAUAGCACAAUACUGGAAUAAAACAAAUGAAGGAUCUUUUUUUUAGUGGAAGAGGAAAAUAUAAGACACAAUGAAAACAACCCAGCUUAAAAGCCCUCAAAAUUAAGGUUACAGGAAAAAGGGAAAAUCAGGUGAAAUGUAUAGGUAUUUAAUUAGUCUUUGGAGUGGUAUAAAAGCUUAUUCUUUUUAAAAGUUGUAACAAACAUUGGCAACACUCCACUCUAUCUCACUGCUAUUCUUGCUUUAUCAGAAAGCUAUCUUUGAAACCUCUUGGCUAGGAAGGUGACAAUUCCUCUAGGUUUCCAUUAUAACUUCAUGCCUAAUGUCAUAUUUACAGCACUGCAUUAUGACUAUUAUUAAUACUAUUAUUGUAAAAGCCUCCUUAUUAGUCUUUCUAGUUCUGCCCUUGUCCUACUGUAGUUUCAACACUAUAGUCAAAACAACGUUGUGUCUGAUCACGUGAAUACCCUGGUCAAAAUCCUCCACUGUCUUCUCAUUUCACGUGGAGUAAAAGCCACAGUAUGGCCUAUUAUGCCUUACGUCACUCCAUACCACCUAUAGGCCCCUUAGGAUUAACUAUCCGACCUUAUCAACUCUUCCCUUUGCUCUCUCCAUCCAGUCAUAUUGGCUCCUUUAUGUUCAUCAGAUUUAAUAGGCAUGUUCCUGCCUCAGCGUAUCUUCUUGGAACACUCUUCUCUCCAUAGUCAUCUCCUCUGGGCCAUGCUGAAAUGUCAGCUGAGUGCCCCAAAUGAAAUAACACUCAGUGCCCUCCCCCUCCACUCCCUAUUUCUUUUAUCCAAUUUUGUUUUUUCUCCAUUACACUUAUAUCUGACAAUAUAUUGUCAUGUUUACUUGCUUAUAGUGUCUUCUUUUCCACCAGAAUGUAAGUAAGCUCCAUGGAGGCAAGGGACUUUUUGUUCAGUGCUAUAUCCUGAGUGCCUGGCACAGAAUUCAAUGAAUACUUAUCAGAUAAAUGAAUAAUCUGUUCAAGUGUAGUUCAUACUGAAAAGAUUUGGAAUCUUGAGAUCUCUGGAACAUAAUAUAUACUGAAUAAAUAUUUAUGAAUUAAAAGGUAAAGAUGGCCAAAUCUUACACUGAAAAUACAUAAAAAUUAAAAAAGGGUAAAAAUAUGCAUCCACACAUUAAUAUCUUGGUACAUACCUGUUUGAAUUCUGAAUCUUUUCCCAACAUAACUUGAAGACUGUAAAUAACUGGAUCACCUUUCAUUGGCUGUAAACACUCCCAUGUAAUUUCACAAAUGUGAUCAUUUACUUUCUCUAUUUUGGGGGCUGUAGGAAACAAAUAUAAAUAAUAUCUGUUCCACUUGAUUUUUAAUUUGGUACAUCAUGCAGACACUUGUCUUAAUAAAAAUCAACAAAUAUUUAAAAUCCACUUAUAAACUUGAAAUAAGUAUCAGUGAAUUUUUGAAAUUUGCAUCCAAAGAGGUUAAAAUCAGCACUCUUGUAUUCUAAGAUAUGGGAUCUCACUCUGUCACCCAGCCUGGACAACAGUGGUGCGAUCAUAGCUCAAUGCAGCCUCAGCCUCCUGUGCAGCUACACACACAGGCAUAUGCUGCCAUGCCCAGCUGAUUCAAAAUUUCUUUUGUAGAGAGGCAGGUCUCAGUAUGUUGCCCACGUUGGUCUCAAUACUCCUGGCCUUAAGUGAGCCUCCCACUUCAGUCUCCCAAAGCACUGGGCUUAUAGGUGUGAGCCACUGUGCCCUGCUUAUAGUCAGCACUCUUCUUAAAGCUAAGAGACACUAAACUUGAUGAGCAAACAGAAAAAUGACUCAGUGAAACUCAAUAUUAUUAGAAAGACUAGUCAAGAAGAGUUCUGCUGUUUAACAAAUGAUAGGUUUAAGUACAUGAUCUAGGAUAUGGUUCUAGAAGUCUCUGU